AGGACGGAAGAGGAUUUGGGGUUCAGCAUUGACCUCACCUAGCAAGAAACAAGUUAAGAUCCACAAAGAAAAUCCCAGUGCUCCAGCCAAAUGCGGUUAAGGCAACUGAGCUCAAGAACCAAAGAACAGCACAGCAGAAAUUAGAUGGCCUUUCUGACUCAGUCCCUCCCCUGUGUAUGAUCUCAUGGUGAACCCCUCCACGCUGAACUUCACAUUUAAUUGUUAGAGGAAAAUGAGCAUAUUCUCUUCACCCCCCCCCCACCAGGAUAUGAGAAGGAGGGUGGGAAAGAACACAUGGUGAAGCACUGAAAGACUGAUCAUCCCUGGGACAGAAGGGCUCAGAUCUGCACUAGGGGAAGCGUUCAGACACAAGACACAGGCAGUCUGAGCCCACAACCAGCUCAGCAUCGCUGCUUUCUCUGUGGUCAGGACUACACCCACACAGGCAGCAGAGACUGCCAUAGGACUAUGUGAGAUGGAAGAUCCUCUAUGGGCAGGGUGGAUGCGCACAGAAGAACAGCAGCCCGGCCAUUUCUCUCACAGUUCUGACCUCGUUGGGCUGGGGAUCAAACUCAGGAUCCAGCCAGUUGGAAGCAGGCACUUUCCCACAGCUGCUGCUCCAAGCGCCAGUCUCUAGUCAGGUGGCACUCUGACACAUCGAGGGACAGACUGGAUGCCAUUAUUUGGCAUGCAAAUCAUUGAUCUUUUGAAUAACUCAAAUAAAGCUCAAACUACUUCCUG
ensembl:processed_transcript 1700110K17Rik RIKEN cDNA 1700110K17 gene